rnacentral:rRNA from 1 species
ACGAACGCUGGCGGCGUGCUUAACACCUGCAAGUCGCACGGAAAGGCCCUGCUUUUGUGGGGUGCUCGAGUGGCGAACGGGUGAGUAACACGUGAGUAACCUGCCCUUGACUUUGGGAUAACUUCAGGAAACUGGGGCUAAUACCGGAUAGGAGCUCCUGCUGCCUGGUGGGGGUUGGAAAGUUUCGGCGGUUGGGGAUGGACUCGCGGCUUAUCAGCUUGUUGGUGGGGUAGUGGCUUACCAAGGCUUUGACGGGUAGCCGGCCUGAGAGGGUGACCGGCCACAUUGGGACUGAGAUACGGCCCAGACUCCUACGGGAGGCAGCAGUGGGGAAUAUUGCACAAUGGGCGGAAGCCUGAUGCAGCAACGCCGCGUGCGGGAUGACGGCCUUCGGGUUGUAAACCGCUUUCGCCUGUGACGAAGCGUGAGUGACGGUAAUGGGUAAAGAAGCACCGGCUAACUACGUG